CCUCCAGCUCGAUCCUCUUCUUCUGGAAGCUGGUUUCACAUGGUGGCUUAGAUUUUUCCAUCUCUGUAUCUAGCACCAUUUGAAAUCAGUGUUUUAGGAGCAAGAAUUGCGGCAUAGAAAGA
rnacentral:precursor_RNA from 13 species